rnacentral:lncRNA from 1 species
GUUUACUAUUACAAAUUUUUGUUCUUAUUAAUAAAGUUUUUCGCGUUUUACACGUUGGGGAAGUAGAUAAAUGGGGCUUUUACUGCACAUAUGAUGCAAAACUGCAAAAAACCAUAGUAUUUAAAAUAGGAUUGUGCCUGUGAAACUCGUUAUCUUACGUCUAUCAAGCUUAUGUAGUUAUAUUAUAUUCCGAUGGCCAACGCAUUAAGUAUAUUUCGUUACCCCUGCCAAAAAAUAGCCAAGUACUCAUCUUUCAAUGUAGCGGAUCGGCUGACCAUUAAAGCUUGUCAUGGAGAGAAGUGAAUUUUCGGUUUAUCCUUCGGCCCAGUGACCAGUGGGCAGUGUGCUGUACGGCCUGUGCUGUACGGCCUACGUUUAAACCGUUAUACAGUACAUAAUUACUGCUUUCAUUCUUUCAAUCCGUUUUGAAUAUUCAGAAUCAUUCACUAUUAUAUUAUAAAACUGUAUAAGAUAGCUGCCUGUAGAACUAUAAAUGCUGUAGAAUAAAAUAAAUAAAGAAAACUACGUUUUAUCGCGGUAUUUGCCGAUAAAUCGG